GUGAAAGUGAACUAUUAUAAAAUAAUCCAAACGUGAAAAUUAAAUGAAUAUUAUCAAAAAAUGUACAAAGGAUGAUUGGGAAACAAGAUUUUGGUCAAUUGACAGCUCUAACCUUGACAGAAAUAGAUAAAAAGGUCUGCGUGAGCAAUUCUUACCGGUUGUAAGGUCUUAAAACUUAAAAUGAUUAUUUGUGAUGAAUUACUUCAUGUUGGUACAAGUGUGCUUUACGAAAUUGGGUAAUUCCCCCAUAGUGACAUUGACAAGGACUAGGUUGGGGUUCAGGGAUUUCUUUGCGAAAUAACAACAACACGCAAAAUAGAAAAGUCUUAUUUAAUGGAGAAUAAAACCAGUACAGUCACUAAACGAUGGUUUUUCUUAUUAAGUAAUCUCGUGGCAAAUUAUAAAACAAUACAAAAAGAGGCGUUCUUAUUUACACAAAAUGUGACCACUGUGAACAAUUAAAACAUAAAUUAAGACAGAUUUUCAUGAAUUGGUAUUUUCUCCAUUAUCAGAGGCAUAGUUAUUGGAAGUUCCAUUGACGGCGAACGAUGUCCCCAGCCCGUACAGAUGUCCCGAAAAUUUUGAAUCAUCAAUCGUAUCCUCAAAAAACAUUUCCUUCAUUUUAAAAAACGCCAUUCCAGUUAACAGCGAAUCAGAUCCAGCUUGAUGUU